rnacentral:rRNA from 1 species
ACGUAGGAUGCAAGCGUUGUCCGGAUUUAUUGGGCGUAAAGAGUUCGUAGGCGGUUUGUUAAGUCUGGUGUUAAAGAUCAGGGCCCAACCCUGAGACUGCAUUGGAUACUGGCAGACUGGAGUGUGGUAGAGGUAAGUGGAAUUUCUGGUGUAGCGGUGAAAUGCGUAGAUAUCAGAAAGAACACCGGUGGCGUAGGCGACUUACUGGGCCAUAACUGACGCUGAGGAACGAAAGCCAGGGGAGCGAAUGGGAUUAGAUACCCCAGUAGUCCUGGCUGUAAACGAUGGAUACUAGGUGUAGCGGGUAUCGACCCCUGCUGUACCGCAGCUAACGCGUUAAGUAUCCCGCCUGAGUAGUACGGCCGCAAGGUUG